GACGAACGCUGGCGGUAUGCUUAACACAUGCAAGUCGUACGAGAUUCUUUGAAUUGUAGUGGCGGACAGGUGCGUAACGCGUAAGAACUUACCUUUUAGAAGGGGAUAACAGCGGGAAACGGCUGCUAAUACCCUAUAGUGCUGAGAAGCUAAAAGUGAAAACUGCCAAAAGAGAGGCUUGCGUCUGAUUAGCUAGUUGGUGGGGGUAAUAGCCUCCCAAGGCAACGAUCAGUAGCUGGUCUGAGAGGAUGAUCAGCCACACUGGGACUGAGACACGGCCCAGACUCCUACGGGAGGCAGCAGUGAGGAAUUUUCCACACUGGGCGAAAGCCUGAUGGAGCAAUACCGCGUGAGGGAUGACUGCCCGUGGGUAUUAAACCUCUUUUCUCAAGGAAGAAAAAAUGACGGUACUUGAGGAAUAAGCACCGGCUAACUCUGUGCCAGCCGCCGCCGUAACAC
rnacentral:rRNA from 1 species